CAGCCGUAAACUAUGCGCGUUAGGUGUAUCGGUGACCACGAGUUACCGAGGUGCCGAAGGGAAACCGUGAAACGUGCCGCCUGGGAAGUACGGUCGCAAGGCUGAAACUUAAAGGAAUUGGGCGGGGGAGCACCACAACAGGUGGAGCCUGCGGUUUAAUUGGACUCAACGCCGGGAAGCUCACCGGAUAGGACAGACAUAUGAUAGUCGGGCUGAAGACUCUACUUGAUGAUCUGAGAGGAGGUGCAUGGCGUCAGUGACU
rnacentral:rRNA from 1 species